CACUUCAUCACUGACACACACAACAAUCUUCAUCAACAUGACCUUCAUCAUCAUCUUCAUCUGGACUCUCACAGCGUUUGCUCAAGAGUGUAGAGGACAGAUCACCGUCACUCAGAGUCCCUCAACGACAGCAGCUCGACCAGAAGAAACAGUCAAAAUCAACUGUAGAACCAGCACAGAUGUGUAUUACAAUGGAGCUUAUUAUUUUUUAGCCUGGUACUUACAGAAACCUGGAGAAGCUCCUAAACGCCUGAUUUAUGCUGCACAGCUCCUCCAGUCAGGAACUCCAUCUAGAUUCAGUGGCAGUGGAUCUAACAGUGAUUUCACUCUGACCAUCAGUGGAGUCCAGACUGAAGAUGCUGGACAUUAUUACUGUCAGAGUUACCACAGCAGUGGUGGUUAUGUGUUCACACAGUGAUGAAGAGUCGUACAAAAACCUCCGUCAGUCAGAGUCACAGAGACUGAACUGAUCCUGCAGCUGCUCAAACACUAUCACUCACUACUGACACACAGAGACAAACACAGCAACUACACAUGAGCUCAGAACUGAUUUACAUUGUUAUGUCAUUGUGCGUUGACAUCAUUGCGUAAUUACGACGCAAAAAUGUGUCACUACAUCAAAUCUCAGCAAAAAAAAUAUAUUUUAUAUAUGUUAAUAUUAAAAUAUAAAUAACUGUAUUUUUAAAUACAACACUGAAUUAUUGAACACUUACAUAGUUUUGAACUAUUAAUUUUUAAUUUAUUUAAUUUUUUAUUAGCUAGUGAACUUAUAAAACUACACAUUCUGAACAGUUUUAAGCAGUGUAUUAGUAGUUAGUUAGUGUGCUACAAUCUAAGAAAAGUCUGUAAAAAUAGGGCACAAUCUACUAUGUUAACAUUAAGGAAUUUCUUUUUACCUGCAUUUUUAAUUACGCAUUGUAUUUUGUGUUUCCGGGUUACAGGGUUACAACGGAUAAUGGAUAACACAUAAUGUCCUGAAAAAUCACUAGUACUAGUUCCAUUUUUCUAGAUAUUUUUCUUACAGUGUACUAAAUGAUCAACAAUCGCAGGUACAAGCUGAGGUGUAUCAUAAAUGAACAAUUAUUCAGUUAUUAAUAUCAAAUCGAACAAUUAAAAAUAGCAGCUAACUUCAUUCAUGUGAUGUGUGUGUGCUGGGCAUCUUUG